rnacentral:ncRNA from 1 species
UAUAUAAUAUAUGGGAGUCUGUGUACAGUCUGAGAGGAAGUGUUAAACUUCGACCGCACCUGAUCUGGGUAAUGCCAGCGUAGGGAACGAUACUUAGUCUAUUCUU